GAUGAACGCUGGCGGCGUGCCUAAUACAUGCAAGUCGAGCGAACGGACGAGAAGCUUGCUUCUCUGAUGUUUGCGGCGGACGGGUGAGUAACACGUGGAUAACCUACCUAUAAGACUGGGAUAACUUCGGGAAACCGGAGCUAAUACCGGAUAAUAUUUUGAACCGCAUGGUUCAAAAGUGAAAGACGGUCUUGCUGUCACUUAUAGAUGGAUCCGCGCUGCAUUAGCUAGUUGGUAAGGUAACGGCUUACCAAGGCAACGAUGCAUAGCCGACCUGAGAGGGUGAUCGGCCACACUGGAACUGAGACACGGUCCAGACUCCUACGGGAGGCAGCAGUAGGGAAUCUUCCGCAAUGGGCGAGAGCCUGACGGAGCAACGCCGCGUGAGUGAUGAAGGUCUUCGGAUCGUAAAACUCUGUUAUUAGGGAAGAACAUAUGUGUAAGUAACUGUGCACAUCUUGACGGUACCUAAUCAGAAAGCCACGGCUAACUACGUGCCAGCAGCCGCGGUAAUACGUAGGUGGCAAGCGUUAUCCGGAAUUAUUGGGCGUAAAGCGCGCGUAGGCGGUUUUUUAAGUCUGAUGUGAAAGCCCACGGCUCAACCGUGGAGGGUCAUUGGAAACUGGAAAACUUGAGUGCAGAAGAGGAAAGUGGAAUUCCAUGUGUAGCGGUGAAAUGCGCAGAGAUAUGGAGGAACACCAGUGGCGAAGGCGACUUUCUGGUCUGUAACUGACGCUGAUGUGCGAAAGCGUGGGGAUCAAACAGGAUUAGAUACCCUGGUAGUCCACGCCGUAAACGAUGAGUGCUAAGUGUUAGGGGGUUUCCGCCCCUUAGUGCUGCAGCUAACGCAUUGAGCACUCCGCCUGGGGAGUACGACCGCAAGGUUGAAACUCAAAGGAAUUGACGGGGACCCGCACAAGCGGUGGAGCAUGUGGUUUAAUUCGAAGCAACGCGAAGAACCUUACCAAAUCUUGACAUCCUUUGACAACUCUAGAGAUAGAGCUUUCCCCUUCGGGGGACAAAGUGACAGGUGGUGCAUGGUUGUCGUCAGCUCGUGUCGUGAGAUGUUGGGUUAAGUCCCGCAACGAGCGCAACCCUUAAGCUUAGUUGCCAUCAUUAAGUUGGGCACUCUAAGUUGACUGCCGGUGACAAACCGGAGGAAGGUGGGGAUGACGUCAAAUCAUCAUGCCCCUUAUGAUUUGGGCUACACACGUGCUACAAUGGACAAUACAAAGGGCAGCGAAACCGCGAGGUCAAGCAAAUCCCAUAAAGUUGUUCUCAGUUCGGAUUGUAGUCUGCAACUCGACUACAUGAAGCUGGAAUCGCUAGUAAUCGUAGAUCAGCAUGCUACGGUGAAUACGUUCCCGGGUCU
rnacentral:rRNA from 1 species